UCCGAAAAAAAGAUAAGUGCCGAAGAACAACAACAAACAAACAAACAAAAAAAAAAACGGCAAACACCCCACCAGGUAUUGUUACAUUCUUUUUUUCCUUUGCUCUACGUUUAUUUUCUUCUUUUUUUACACGUCAAAAAAAUGGAAAAGAGACCAUGAGUGUCAUUAGAGACCUGGUCAUUAGACCUCAUGAGGGAGCGAUGAAAUCAACCAAAUUGGCUUUUUGAUCAAAGCAAACGGAUGAAACAAAAAAUCAUCACACUC
rnacentral:ribozyme from 1 species